rnacentral:lncRNA from 1 species
ACACACACACACACGCAUACAUGGAGGGAGAGAGAGAUCUCCCUUUCUCUCUCUAAAUCUCUCCCAAAAAGAGAGGGUUUUGGUGGAGAUUGAAGCUCAAGGAUGGAUUUUCAUCUUCUCUAUCUUCUUCCUCUCCAUUAGAGCAAGCUUUGAAGGUAAGCUUCAAACCCUUUAAUGGCAUUUCUCUCUAGUUUGGUUUUUAAGCUCUAAGAAUGGAUUUAGAGGUAUUCUAGCAUGCUAAUUAGAGGUUUGAUGCUUGAAAUCAAGGCUCUAAUGGUGGAUUUUUACCUAUUGAAACCUAGAGCUCCAAAAUGAGGGCUUUAAUGGUAGAUCUCUAAAGAUAGGUCUAAAUGCUUUGGAAAUGGUUUUAGUGGAACCCAUUGAUGCCUAAUAGAUGAUUAAUGCUUGAAUCAUAGAGCAAUUUAAUGAUUUCUUGCAUAGUUGUAAACCUAGGGCUCAAAAUGCAAACUUUCAAAAUAUGAGGGUUUGAUCUCAUUUGACCCUCCGUAAACCAAAUUGCUAGGUAAACGAACGCGUUGGCGAAGACGGUUCGGCAAUCCGACGAGCCGUUACAAAGUUAUUAAAGAAAUGGACGUUUAGGCUUCGGGUCCGCCGGGAGGGCCGAGGCGAUAUCGUAAAUUCAUGAAAAUGGAUUUGAAGCAUCGUGGCACAUAACCGAAGACCUUUAAUUUUCGGAUCGUGAAUUGGAGGCCGUUCGGGUGGUCGCGCGAGAGAUCGGGCCAAACCGGGUGCCGGGUGCCGCGGGAGGCCGAUUGCAAGUGUCGACAAGCAAUCGGAAUGCGAAAUGAGGUGGGUUGUGCUUACCGAAGCGACUAGGUCGCCCUUUAUGUCUAAGAAAUGAGAUUUCAUAUUGAUGCAUGUUGACAUAUAAUGUGAGAUGCUAGAGAAUGUAUUUGACAUAAUAUAAGAAUGUGAAAAGAAUGCAUGUUAACAUAUUAUAGAAAUGCAUGUGAUUAAUGCUUUGAAUGCAUAAGAUAAAGGGCAUAUGAAUGUUAACAUUAUAAGUUUACAUGAUAAGCAUGCAUGUGGAUAAUGCUAAGUAAUGGUAUGAUAAGCAUGAUGUAGAAAUAAUAAAUGCAAGCAUGUGGCUAAUACUAAGUUAUACUUAAUGAUCAUGUUGCAGAAAUACUAAUGUUAAGAAAUGGAAAUGUGCAUAUGGACAAAUCUAUAUACAUUAGAUCGAGUGGCAUUGAACCUAGAGUCAUGGACAUAGGUUGAACAUGGAGGAUAUGAACCUAGUGUAUUGAACCUAGCUGACACUUGUAGCAUUGAGCAUAUAUUUGUAUCAUUCAUACAUAAUAGGGCUAACUACAUGUGAACCUUGGUUACUUUCAAUGACAUGUUUCUAACGUAGUUGAACAUAGAGAAAGAUAGAACCAUAAUGAACUUGUAUGUUAGAACCCUAUUAUUAGGUGAAUGUGAGAGUUGGACUUGGACAUUAGUAAACAAAGACGACAUUGACAAUAGAGACAUUGAUAUGCAUAGAGGAUAUAGUUGUUAAACAUAGUUUAACCAAGAGUGGCAUUGGACCAAUUUGACAUAGAGUAGCAUUGGACCAAGUUGACAUAGAGUGGCAUGAUUAAAUAGGUAGAAACCUAUUGUGACAUUGGCAUUGUGACUAGUGGCUAUAUAUCCUCAAGUUGAGGAUUGGAUCGACACUCACAAUAAGUCUUGGCUUGAGGGAGGUAGCUCCCCCUCGGGCGGUGCGCUCCGGAGUUGGUCACCACUGGGCGUGGUAAAGUCCCACCAGUUGACGGUCCCUAGGGAGGUUCGAGUCCCCCGUUAUUAAGGGAUUUGGUUGUGAGUUAUUGGGGUUAACAUGGUUAACCGGUAAGAUUGGGUGAAAGCCAAGUGAAUGUACAGCAUUAUGUGUUACGGGUUUAGUAUCCCAGUUGAGAGGAUUUAGGGCUGAGGUGUAUGUGAGACGUCCAUCACCUCGAGCCUAGUUUUGGUGCGGUAUUCCGCAGUUGAUUGACUCGAGACCGAGUCGGGUGGUUAGCUUGGCUAGGGUAGAGGAAAACCUUAGGAGCAAAUAACCAAUGAUGUAAAGUGAUAAGAUGUAUAAAUUAUGAAAAAGCUAUGGAUAGCAUGAUACAAAAUAAAAUCAUUUCUUCUACUUGUAUAGUUGCAUGAUUCGCAUAUAGCAUGGCAUUAUUGCAUUCGUGAGGCAAAGAAUGGUUUUAUUAGUUGCAUAAUAAAGAUAUAUAUCUAUCUGUUUAUUGAACUAACUUGCAGUUGCCUCCCUUGGACCUAUUGGUCGAACUUUUCCCUUGGGUGGCCGUACCCACUGGGAACCAUGGAGUUGGUUCUCACCCCAUGUGGUUUUGGGGUGUUUACAGGUUCGCACGUGAGCGGCGCGGCGGCGCGAGGCGAGGGCGUAGUUCCAUAGUUAGCGCCCUACCACCGAGACCAGAGAUAGCGGUACCCUGAGUCGGCCUUACUUAGGGAUGCAAGAAAAUGAAAAGGAAUAAGAUUGUAUUAAUCGUGUUAAAUCGGAUUGUAUUUGGAAGCUAAAAAGAAUGUAUUAUGUAAUUGUGAUGUAGAAUGAAUCUAAUGUGAAUGAAUGUAAUAAUCUAGGAUGUGUUUAUGUUGUUUGAUACCUUCCAUUAUGCAAUCUUGAUUGAAAUGUGUUCCUGGUUGGAACUUCGUACAUUG